UGUUUCUUCACAUCAUAGUGAGAGCAUCAGAAUCAAAGUGGAAGAUUCAAGGAUCUCCACAUCUGGAUCAACUGUUACAACAUCAAAUUCUGUCACAACUGGAAUUGGUCAGCAUCUCAAAUUCAUUUUGCCAGUUGCUGUUGUGCUGUUUUUACUGAUGUCAGCAGCAAUUCUGGGCUUCCACACCCUGAAACACAAGAGAAACAAACCCGACAGUAAAAG